CUGCCAAGGUCUUAGUGGAGACCACUAGGAUUGUUUGCAAGAGUCUUACUGAAGUCAGAACUUAGACUGUGUUGGUAGAGGAAAAUCUAUUUUAAUGCAAUUACUUUACUUUGUUUACACCAGGGAGGUAAAUUUAACUUUGGAACCAUCAUUUACAUCCUCGGAAUAUAUAUUUUCAGCACAUAGCUGAAUUCUGUGUAUGUAGAAAAUAUGUCACUGAUUAGGUUUCUUGCCAUAUCAAGUACAGCAGCAUGAAAGAACAGCAUCAUGUCCUCAGAACUUACCAGUAAAGAGAAAAUGUUUACAACCUGUCUCUGAACAGCACUGCAUGGAUGAUGGAGCACUUCUGAAAGAAUAUCUGUGAAGGAAAUAAACCCAUUAAUUGAACAGAAUUACUGCA
rnacentral:lncRNA from 1 species